rnacentral:rRNA from 1 species
UGGGGAAUAUUGCGCAAUGGGCGAAAGCCUGACGCAGCAACGCCGCGUGGGGGAUGAAGGCCUUCGGGUUGUAAACCCCUUUCAGCAGGGAAGAAGCGAGAGUGACGGUACCUGCAGAAGAAGCACCGGCUAACUACGUGCCAGCAGCCGCGGUAAUACGUAGGGUGCAAGCGUUGUCCGGAAUUAUUGGGCGUAAAGAGCUCGUAGGCGGUCUGUCGCGUCUGCUGUGAAAGUUCGGGGCUCAACCCCGGAACUGCAGUGGGUACGGGCAGACUAGAGUGCGGUAGAGGAGACUGGAAUUCCUGGUGUAGCGGUGGAAUGCGCAGAUAUCAGGAGGAACACCAGUGGCGAAGGCGGGUCUCUGGGCCGCAACUGACGCUGAGGAGCGAAAGCGUGGGGAGCGAACAGGAUUAGAUACCCCCGUAGUCC